rnacentral:rRNA from 1 species
AUUGAACGCUGGCGGCAUGCCUUACACAUGCAAGUCGAACGGUAACGCGGGGCAACCUGGCGACGAGUGGCGAACGGGUGAGUAAUGUAUCGGAACGUGCCCAGUUGUGGGGGAUAACUGCUCGAAAGAGCAGCUAAUACCGCAUACGACCUGAGGGUGAAAGCGGGGGAUCGCAAGACCUCGCGCAAUUGGAGCGGCCGAUAUCAGAUUAGGUAGUUGGUGGGGUAAAGGCCCACCAAGCCAACGAUCUGUAGCUGGUCUGAGAGGACGACCAGCCACACUGGGACUGAGACACGGCCCAGACUCCUACGGGAGGCAGCAGUGGGGAAUUUUGGACAAUGGACGCAAGUCUGAUCCAGCCAUGCCGCGUGCGGGAAGAAGGCCUUCGGGUUGUAAACCGCUUUUGUCAGGGAAGAAAAGGUUCUCUCUAAUACAGGGGGCUAAUGACGGUACCUGAAGAAUAAGCACCGGCUAACUACGUGCCAGCAGCCGCAGUAACAC